rnacentral:rRNA from 1 species
GACGAACGCUGGCGGCGUGCCUAAUACAUGCAAGUCGUGCGGACUUUGCGGGAGCUUGCUCCCAAGAAGUUAGCGGCGGACGGGUGAGUAACACGUGGGAAACCUGCCUGACAGACUGGGAUAACAUUCGGAAACGAAUGCUAAUACCGGAUAGGCAGAGAAGGGGCAUCUCUUGGCGGUGAAAGGCGCUAUGGCGUCACUGUCAGUUGUGCUGGCGGCGCAUUAGCUAGUUGGUAGGGUGACGGCCUACCAAGGCGACGAUCCGUAGCCGACCUAGGAGGGUGGACGGCCACACUGGGACUGAGACACGGCCCAGACUCCUACGGGAGGCAGCAGUAGGGAAUCUUCCACAAUGGGCGAAAGCCUGAUGGAGCAACGCCGCGUGAGUGAUGAAGGCCUUCGGGUUGUAAAACUCUGUCUUCUGGGACGAACGGCCAAGAGAGGGAAUGCUCUUGGAUUGACGGUACCAGAGGAGGAAGCCACGGCUAACUACGUGCCAGCAGCCGCGGUAAAAC